UGACUGGUAGCUCAGUGGUUAGAGCAUUGGCCUGUGCACCAAAGGGUCGAAUGUUUGAUUCCUGGUCAA
rnacentral:tRNA from 1 species